AACGGACGCUGGCGGCAGGCUUAACACAUGCAAGUCGAGCGCCCCGCAAGGGGAGCGGCAGACGGGUGAGUAACGCGUGGGAAUCUACCCAUCUCUACGGAAUAACGCAUGGAAACGUGUGCUAAUACCGUAUACGUCCUUCGGGAGAAAGAUUUAUCGGAGAUGGAUGAGCCCGCGUUGGAUUAGCUAGUUGGUGGGGUAAAGGCCUACCAAGGCGACGAUCCAUAGCUGGUCUGAGAGGAUGAUCAGCCACACUGGGACUGAGACACGGCCCAGACUCCUACGGGAGGCAGCAGUGGGGAAUAUUGGACAAUGGGCGCAAGCCUGCUCCAGCCAUGCCGCGUGAGUGAUGAAGGCCCUAGGGUUGUAAAGCUCUUUCACCGGUGAAGAUAAUGACGGUAACCGGAGAAGAAGCCCCGGCUAACUUCGUGCCAGCCGCCGCAGUAAGAC
rnacentral:rRNA from 1 species